rnacentral:lncRNA from 1 species
CCAGCUGAGCCCCCCCAGGGUCCUGGACAUCAGGGCCAGCAUAGAAACAACCAUAGGGAUGGUGGGAACUUAAAUCCAGGCUCCCUGGAGCUAGUUAGAAUGACCUGGGGCUCAGGGCUGUUCAGUGGCACCAGAUGCCAUGUGCCCCUUCCUGGGUAUCCCAGAAAUCCCAGGGCCACUAAGCUGGGCUCAGCCCCCGCAUUCACCAAUGUCCCCUCUUUGGCCCUAGGAUGGGAAGCUUGGGCACAAACCCACCUCUCUGCUGGCUUCAAAUCCUUCCUGAAUCUGUACAGAGGUGGAACCCACAGGGCCCCCAGGGCUGAGGGGCACCCCC